AUGUAUUUGCUGGAGCUCUGCACUCUGUGCUCUGCAGAUGACCCAACAGACCUCACAGCUGCAAGGGUUAAUUCUGUCACGAUUGCAGCAAUGCUGCACCAAGCCAGAGAAAUCAUAACAACAGAAACACAUUUGUCUGGUGGAGUGAACAGAAGAAAUGUUGCAGAAUUGAGAUACGAAGAACCUCACUACAGAAUAGAAGGAGAACUGUCAUGCUGAUUGUUUGUCAUUAUUGUUUCAUGUCUAGUUAAGUGAACUUAAAGUGACAGUUGUGUCAUAACUGCAGGCAUCUAUGUAAAUUUCAAAUCAAAUACGAUAGAGGCAUUUCUGCCAGACAGAAGUCACCAGGCUGCUCUUCCUCUUCAUUUUUGUAACCCUCCAUUUUCUCAUGCCACUGCUGGUAACCUUUAAAUUAAAAAGACAACUUCAACAGGGGAUCUCUGUGAUCUGUGUGUUUCAGUGCUCAGCCUGUACCUUGCUUUCUCUCAGCUUUUUGAAACAAUGCCCUGUGUCAAAUUUCCACCAGAAGCAGUCACCACAAACAUCUAGAUGGAUUAGUUAAACCUGUGCCUUCCCAUUAAUGAUGUAUCACACAACAAGACUCUGUGAAGUUCUAGGUUGAGAACGUCCCCUGAAGACCUACAGAGAAAACAGCUCAAGCAAAUGUUCCUGCACUGGUUUACUGCAGCCCAAGCCAGACGUCUUCUCUGUGGAUAGGAGCAAAAUAGGCAGAAAACAUGGUCAUGGACCUUUCUGUACAUUACAGCAUUGUUCAGAGAUCAUGGGAACUUCAUAACGAUAUCAGACAUACUUCUCCAUUGCAAUGAGCUACAUGUAAAUAAUUAAUUUCCGGGAUACACUCAGAUAUUCUAAUUACACAGGAUUUGCUACUGGACACACAUACUUGAAAAUAAUUUCAAUGCAAUUAUAAAGGUAUUUUGUGUGGACAACACCAUGAAAAAAUAUUAAACAUGCUAUUUAUUCACUCAGGGAAAAUAUACUAUUUUUUCCACAUAUUUAAAGUUACUUGGUUAAUUAAUUAGAUAAUACAGGCUAGAGUUAAGUUUUCAUUUUUCAUUGCAGCACAUUGCAUAAAUGAUACUGUUAUAAACGUGUACCUCUGCAUUAGGUAAGUGCAUUUUGGUCAGCUGAUUGAGUCAGAUUUUUUUUUUUAAUUCCUUUCCAGCUGAUCUUUUUUGUAGUGUAAAUUUAAAGUAGCUCGGUGACUCCUAUAAUUUGGGCCUUCCAAACAGCACCAAAUUGUGCUGUCCUGCCCUUCCAUUUGUUACAGUGACUAGUGAAAAGAGGCAAUGUAUUAAUGCCAGUCCUAUAAAAGUACCUGUGAAGAAAACAUUUUUUUACCCCAAAGGGUAAGUUCUAUAUGAGUUUAUAUUAGGUGUUUGUCAAAGGACUUUUUUUCCCUGUUAAAGACGGAGUCCUAUGAAUCAUAAAAAUAAUCAUAUUUGAGACAAAAUAUCACUACAGGUAUGUCACAAUAAAAAUCAGUUGUUGGUAUAUGUUUAAGAGUAG
rnacentral:lncRNA from 1 species